rnacentral:rRNA from 16 species
GUGCAAGUAUGAACCAAUUUGAACUGUUAAACUGCGAAUGGCUCAUUAAAUAACUUAUAGAUUGUUUGAUGGUACGUGCUACUCGGAUAACCAUAGUAAUUCUAGAGCUAAUACGUGCAACAAACCCCGACUUUUGGGAGGGGCGCAUUUAUUAGAUAAAAGGCUGACAUGGUCUCUGCACGCUAAUCCGAUGAUUCAUGAUAACUCGACGGAUCGCAUGGCCUAUCUGCCGGCGACGCAUCAUUCAAAUUUCUUCCCUAUCAACUUUCGAUGGUAGGAUAGGGGCCUACCAUGGUGGUGACGGGUGACGGAGAAUUAGGGUUCGAUUCCGGAG